CCGGGCGACCGGCGCACGGGUGAGUAACACGUAUGCAACCUGCCCUCUUCAGGGGGACAACCUUCCGAAAGGGAGACUAAUCCCGCGUAUAUCGGUUUCGGGCAUCCGAGAUCGAGGAAAGAUUCAUCGGAAGAGGAUGGGCAUGCGGCGCAUUAGCUAGACGGCGGGGUAACGGCCCACUGUGGCGACGAUGCGUAGGGGUUCUGAGAGGAAGGUCCCCCACACUGGUACUGAGACACGGACCAGACUCCUACGGGAGGCAGCAG
rnacentral:rRNA from 1 species